rnacentral:lncRNA from 1 species
AAGGGCCCUGACUCUCACCUCUGUGACUCUGUGUCCCUCAUUUCAGGGUCCUGGGCACGGUCUUUGCUGACCCAGCCAUCCUCGGUGUCAGGGACCCUGGACCAGGAGGUCACCAUCUCCUGCUCCGGGAACAGCAACAUUGGAUCCCAUAGUGUGUGUUGGUUCCAGCUGUCAGUGGUGCUGCCCCAAAACUCUGACUCUUGGAAGUACCAGGCCCUGAGAGAUUCCAGAUGAUUCUCUGUCUCCAAGUCAGGCAACGUGGUCUCUUUGACCAUCUGUGGGCUCCAGCCUGAGGACGAGUGUCUGUGGCCCAGGCAGGGCUGACUCAGCCGCCCUCAGUGACCAAGUCCCCAGGACAGACGGCCACACUCACCUGCACUGGAAAGAGCAAAAAUGUAGGCCAUGAGGGAGAAGCAUGGCUGCAGCAGCAACCCCAAGGCCAUGUCCCCACACUCCUGACCAGCAGGAAUAACAUCUGGGCCUCUGGGGUCUCCGAGAGAUUCUCUGGCUCCAGGUGCUGGGUUCCCCUGCUUAGAGGGUCCAUCUCUCCGACCUCAAGUGGCCAUCCACCAGCAUCACCAGCAACCAGCCUCCCCUCUUUUCCUGACCUCGGUACAUGACCUGACCUCUGAUUUGAAGGCUCUUCCAGUCUUUCC